rnacentral:rRNA from 1 species
UUAAAUUGAAGAGUUUGAUCAUGGCUCAGAUUGAACGCUGGCGGCAGGCCUAACACAUGCAAGUCGAACGGUAACAGGAAACAGCUUGCUGUUUCGCUGACGAGUGGCGGACGGGUGAGUAAUGUCUGGGAAACUGCCCGAUGGAGGGGGA